CACAGCUGCUGUCAAAAUCGACCCUGUGAAUCUAAUAGCAUUCACACGAUAUAUUUUUUCUGAAAAUCAUCCAUUGUUUUGAUAAAGUUAUCGAUCUGCGUAUUUUUUGGUCAUCAUAGUCAUCAAGACUUUUAUGUGUCGAUUACGAAAAAAAAAAAUCUCUAUCAUGCUUCUAGAUCCAAAAACUAGCAAAGAUCCGCAAUACGAUAUAUUUUUCUUCUUGUAGUGCUAGUUGAAUCAGAUAGAUACCAGUUAGGUGUUCAUAGCAUUUCAAGAGUCGGUUUUGUGGGUUUGUUCAAAGGUAAGUUUAUAAAAGGUUUUCUUAUGUAAUUGUUUUGAUGCCAACAAAUUUUUAAUGCCAAUAUUUAGUAACGCUUCAGUAGGGUCUAAAUCUUUCUGAAUGAUGUUUGGAGAUGAUGGCGAUCUUGACGGAAGUUGCAGAUCUGAUCACUAGAUCUUGACAUGCUUAUUACUUAAAUAUCAAUAAAUUUGGUUCCUGUAGUAUUCUGCUUGUUUUAGUUUUGGUCCAAGGUUAAAGUGGUCAUUAGAAAAUAUCAAGUAAUGCUGUGUCUUCAUUUCUGAUUGUUACAUUUAUCCUCCUUGUAGUGUGAAAGGGAAUAUCGUAUAGGGUGUUUGAGGCACAUAAUAAUAUGGAUCUGAAGGUGUGCUUUCAUUUCGGAGGAAUCAGAAUCGGAAUCACCAAUUCCGAUGUGAAGUGGAUUGUUUUCCUUGGGAAAGAUGUUUCUGAUGAAUGGUUUCACAACCUCCCAAAACCACACAACAACACCAGAACCUACUGUGUAUCCUGUGUAUUAAAAACAAUUAACUAGGCCAAGGUUGGUUAAAUUAAUCAUGUAUAUAUGUUUAUAAUUUUGUUUAAUAAAAUAUACUCACAGUCAAUCUCUGGGAGUCCACUGAUGAGCAGAUCAAGCUCUUUAUCAUUAAAAAUAGAAAUAAGGCCACUUUACCUUACCCUUUCCGAUGUCAAGUGGAUUGUAUGCCUUGCCAAAGAUGUUUCUAAUGACAACAAAGUGUUGCUUUGACAAGCAGUUGAUAUCUUUCA